UUAAUGGAGAGUUUGAUCCUGGCUCAGGACGAACGCUGGCGGCGUGCCUAAUACAUGCAAGUCGAGCGAGGGUUUUCGGACCCUAGCGGCGGACGGGUGAGUAACACGUAGGCAACCUGCCUGUAAGACUGGGAUAACAUAGGGAAACUUAUGCUAAUACCGGAUAGAGUUUUGCUUCGCAUGAAGCGAAACGGAAAGAUGGCGCAAGCUAUCACUUGCAGAUGGGCCUGCGGCGCAUUAGCUAGUUGGUGAGGUAAAGGCUCACCAAGGCGACGAUGCGUAGCCGACCUGAGAGGGUGACCGGCCACACUGGGACUGAGACACGGCCCAGACUCCUACGGGAGGCAGCAGUAGGGAAUUUUCCACAAUGGACGAAAGUCUGAUGGAGCAACGCCGCGUGAACGAUGAAGGCUUUCGGGUCGUAAAGUUCUGUUGUUAGGGAAGAAACAGUGCCAUUUAAAUAAGGUGGCACCUUGACGGUACCUAACGAGAAAGCCACGGCUAACUACGUGCCAGCAGCCGCGGUAAUACGUAGGUGGCAAGCGUUGUCCGGAAUUAUUGGGCGUAAAGCGCGCGCAGGUGGCUAUGUAAGUCUGA
rnacentral:rRNA from 1 species